CCAAAGGCUCUUUUCAGAGCCACUUAAACAUACUGAAAGAGCUGU
rfam:Papio anubis isolate 1X1155 chromosome 4, whole genome shotgun sequence.